GAGGCGAACCGGGGGAACUGAAACAUCUAAGUACCCCGAGGAAAAGAAAUCAACCGAGAUUCCGAAAGUAGCGGCGAGCGAAAUUGGACUAGCCCUUAAGCUUUACACGCGUUAGACGAACGGUCUGGAAAGUCCGACGAUACAGGGUGAUAGUCCCGUAGUUGACGACGUGUGUUCAGUGAAAUCGAGUAGGGCGGGACACGUGAUAUCCUGUCUGAAUAUGGGGGGACCAUCCUCCAAGGCUAAAUACUACUGACUGACCGAUAGUGAACCAGUACCGUGAGGGAAAGGCGAAAAGAACCCCUGUGAGGGGAGUGAAAUAGAACCUGAAACCGUGUACGUACAAGCAGUAGGAGCAGGCUUGUCCUGUGACUGCGUACCUUUUGUAUAAUGGGUCAGCGACUUAUAUUCAGUGGCAAGGUUAACCAUCUAGGGGAGCCGUAGGGAAACCGAGUCUUAACUGGGCGUUCAGUCUCUGGAUAUAGACCCGAAACCAGGUGAUCUAGCCAUGGGCAGGUUGAAGGUUGAGUAACAUCAACUGGAGGACCGAACCGACUAAUGUUGAAAAAUUAGCGGAUGACUUGUGGCUAGGGGUGAAAGGCCAAUCAAACCUGGAGAUAGCUGGUUCUCCCCGAAAGCUAUUUAGGUAGCGCCUCGGACGAAUACUACUGGGGGUAGAGCACUGUUAAGGCUAGGGGG
rnacentral:rRNA from 1 species